CGACCUAACGCCGGCCCCGAGAAGAGCGGGGUCCGACAGCCGCCAGCUCCGGAGAUCCUGGCGGCUCCCGAGCGCUCACCGUCCCCUUACUACCCGAACCGCUCACCUGUUUGGGCUGGUCCUUACCGCAAAAGGGCUCACAGCAGCCUGAAACAAAACGACACCACGAGAACAUUAAAGAGAACAUUAAAGAGAACCUGAAGGCGCCGUCCCCCCCCCCCAAAAAAAACCCGCGUACCGCUUCUCAGCCUCAGCAGCACCAGGGCCCGACAAAGAAACAGAACUCACUCCGUCUCCCAUACAGAACCGCAGAAACUCCCCCGUGGCUCCCGGCAGCCUCCGGAGGAGCUUAAGAGGCUUUGGGGCGGGCCCCGCCCGCGGCUCCCGACGAGGCGCAGCUGCGCCCGGCCGGCCGCGGCCCCGCGGCACCUGGGAGUCGUUGCCUCGUUAGCGCAGCCGGCCUCGUUAGGGACGGCCCGGGGCUCUGACAGUUUGACGUGCGGACUCCGGAUCUGAAUUAGGGACUUAAAUUACACUUUAAAGUACAGUUUGUUACGCGCUUCUCCUUCUCGCCGCACUGUGGGAUUCAUCGAUAAGUUAAGUAAUUGUGCCAAUUCAAACGGGUCGCUUUGCAUCCGACGCGACCGGCGCGAUAGAGCGUCUCCCCUCCGAAGAACGUCCCCGGCCUUAACGGUUUCCAGGGGCCCCCGCUGGAAUUUGCUGUUAACCACUUGCAAGAUACAAAGUGACGGCCAGCUGGAUGAAUAGGAGAAUGUAUGUGAACACCCGGAACUGACAGACCCGGCACGGUGCAUGUGGCUUGAAGUGGGCACUGAGAGAAAGCUCAGACAAUGUAUAUACAUGCUAUUAACAUUCACAUUAAUUUCCACUGGGACACGACUUAAUUAAGGUGAGCUGUACAAAGUUCAUCUCAUUUCCCUUUACGCUCCAUUCCAUACACAAUGUAUGUUACCAGAGAGAUACUGCGCUAUGCUUCACUACUUUAAUCACUGGCCUGUCCCAUUGUAGUUCAGGAACGCAUGCAAGUGUACUGUUCUUAUUAGAGGCACGGUCUGGAGAAGAUGGCCGGGGAGCUGAGCAUCAUUUCUACAUCAGCUGCUGAAGCGCCCACUAACUUUGGAUGUCGCCUAAACCUUCAGAUGGAAUCCUUGCAGGCAUUCCCGUGGGGAUCGGGAAAUUGCAGUAUGCCGGAACUACCGUUGCUGAUGUGGGGCGAGCGCUCUGAAGUGCACUUGGAGAAGAACGCAUUCCAACCCCGCAUAUAUGAAAAGUUUAAUAUUUUAGACAGCUAGAUGAAAUGCUGGGGUCUUGGUGCAUUUUGCUUUGGCGGUCCAGGCUUUUCAGCAUCUUAGGGAAAUGUUUGGAAAUGAAUUUUAUUUUCACAACUGUGGUACAAUUACAAGGCGGGGAUGUUUCACCCUUCUCACCGAGGUGCCCUUGGUGGUGGUGGUCUGUAAAUGGCUAUAGAACUGACAGAGAAGUCUGCAAGCAUUUUCUUCGGUUCUGAUUUUUAUUCUUAUUUGUUUUAACAGAGAGAUAAAAACCAGCAUUGUGCAUGUCCUUGCUCUGCGGGUUGGGGAUGUAUCGUUGUUGUUGUCGUUGUUUUCCUGGGAAGUAAAACAGGGUAGGAUAUUGGAAAUAAGGGCAAGUGGAUUUAUUGCUGAGCGAGUUGUACGCCUGUUUGACAGAAAAUUCCUGAACUGAUCAGUGUUGGUGGAAGUUGGGGCUGCCUCCCGAUGUUUCCUGAGCCUUCUAUUUAGUUUGGAGUUCUGGGAAGUAUUUGUGGGCUUAAUCCAUUUACGCUUUUGAUAGGUAAAUGCAAGCCAUGAGUUACGGUAAAUUAUUGCUAAGAAAAGAUGAAUGGAAGAAUGGAUGUUUCAUUUUACUAUAUAUGCUGGGAAAGGUUGUUCUUUCUUUCAGCGUAUAACUCUGCUUUUCCUCGUACAACCUAUUUACAGGGUCAGACUUCUUAAUUUAUUUAUUUUUUUGUUUCUGUAUUUACUGUAAUUAAAGCCAAAGCAGACAACACUUCUUCAGUCUUCUGCAUUUACUGAGUGCCUUUAGCAAACACGCUGCAAGGCAUAGCCGUUAGAUGAGCAUUUCCAACCAUGGUGUGUAAAUGAGUUAUAAAAUACAAGCAACUCUAUAAAACAAGAAAAUCCUGAGUUAACAAAUAAAUGGUGUCCUUCCUAUAUCACGUAUAAGCUUUUUUCAUCCUUCUCGUAGGGUGGUAUGGUAUCUCGGAGCUCAAAAGGGAUUUUCGCUGUAGGGUCAGAGAUGGAAGGUGUCACAGUGAAGAACUCCUUCAAAU
ensembl:lncRNA